CUGCAGAGCUUCAGAUAUCUGUACUUUGUCCUCUUGUGAGUGAUGAGGUCUUUAAAAGCCUUGCUCUUGAAGUCGAUUUAACUCAACUUCUAACAUGAAGUCAUAGUUACAAAUGAUGACCACUUUAGACUGAGAGAAAAAUAAGACAUUGACUAAUGGUUCCAAACUUUAAAAGUCACCGUAAAAUGUUGUCAUUCUCAGAUGUAAUUGUUAAGUCUUUGCAGCCUGGUUGACCAUAGAAUGUCCUGUAAUCUGUGUUUGUUUCUACAGCGAUCCCGCCAUGAAGCAGUUUUUGCUGUACUUGGAUGAGUCCAAUGCCUUGGGGAAGAAGUUCAUCAUUCAAGACAUUGAUGACACACAUGUCUUUGUCAUUGCGGAACUGGUUAAUGUUCUCCAGGAGCGAGUAGGGGAACUGAUGGACCAGAAUGCCUUUUCUCUUACCCAGAAGUGAGAGCUCUAGUGUUAAGCACUUGGCAAUCCCAACCACAGACAGGAGAGAGGCCUGCUUAGUGUCUCCUGGAGUUUAGACUUGUUACAAGCAUUUGGUGGGAAAGGCUGCUGCAGGGUCAUUCACUCAGAUGUAAGCUCCCAACUGAUUUUGAUGGACCAUUAAAAAAAUCUUUG
rnacentral:lncRNA from 1 species